rnacentral:tRNA from 1 species
GCAGAAUAGUUCAGCAGGUAGAACAGCAGGAUACAACCCUGUAUGGUCCCCGGUUCGAGUCCGGGUUCUGCCCCA